UCCGGCUUAUCACCGGCAGUCCCACUAGAGUGCCCAACUGAAUGAUGGUAACUAAUGGCAAGGGUUGCGCUCGUUGCGGGACUUAACCCAACACCUCACGGCACGAGCUGAUGACAGCCGUGCAUCACCUCGCACAGUGCCCCGAAGGGAGACCGGCUUUCACCGGCUGUCACUGCACGUUCAAGCCCAGGUAAGGUUCUUCGCGUUGCAUCGAAUUAAACCACACGCUCCACCGCUUGUGCGGGCCCCCGUCAAUUCCUUUGAGUUUUAAUCUUGCGACCGUACUCCCCAGGCGGAGAGCUUAAUGCGUUAGCUGCGCCACUGAGAAGUAAACUUCCCAACGGCUAGCUCUCAUAGUUUACGGCGUGGACUAC
rnacentral:misc_RNA from 1 species